UAUCCCCUUAUUCAUUCAAUUUCAGAAAUUGACUAAAAUCCACUGUAAAUAUAUAAGAGCAUCUUGAGCAUCUGUUUUAGCUAUUUUCAUCUCGAGUGCAAAUCGUCUUCCUUGCAUUAAAUCAUUGAUGUUAUCAUCUUCAUCCCAGCUGCUCAUAGUCUGGGUAGUGUACAUCUUUAGAAUAGAUUUCAGCCAUUGUCUGUCAUGUUUCAGGUGAUAAGAUGUAGAGCCGCGACUCAUCUCCAGUUUCCUGUGCCAUUAAGAAGGCAGGUGAAGAUGCUUCAGUGUGCUCAAUGCAAUAUUUUUUUCCAAAUCAGUCUCGUCCCUUUCAUCACCGGCGCUGCCUGCACGCGAAGCCUCUAUCCGUUCCAGCAAGCUGCUGCGAGUCUGAACAGACGGAUUUGUCAAUUUCACUUCUGGUAAAGACAGAAAACCUGAUUUGCGGUCUCCAGUGUAGUGGUGCUGGAGCUGACGACAGCUGACAGGGUUUGCUCUGUGAAAAGGCUGCCAAAUUGUCCGGCGAUCCUGCGAGAAGCACCUCCGCCCUGUGGAAGGUGCACAGAUUGGACGUUUUAGAUCAACAGAUGUAAACUGCUGUGCAGCUUCUGGAAGAUUCUACUGCUGCUGUGAAAGAUAAGACGUUGCGUGAUUUCAAAUUUCACUUCACUGUAACCCAAUAAUGAGGCCAUUGCUAGCUUUUUUUUAUUUUAUUCAUUAUAUUGUCAAUAAUAAUAAAUAAUAAUGAAACAUGCAGUGUUGUAUCAUUCAGCUGUAGAGUGGUUGAAAAUGCCUCCCUCGAGUUUUGCUUCUGCCCCUGGAAGGACUGUAGCAAUAGAGAGCAGAUGGAGGCCAGACAUGUCCUGAUCGCCUCAUUUUCAGGGUGGUAUUUCAAUUUGGAAACCUCUCGGGCUGGCGGCUCACUGAAGGGUGGAACCUCAGCGCCAGAGAUCUCACUCUCAAAGCAUCUUUUCUGUUCGAGACCAGUCAAAGCCUCCUUCUUCCUGGAAUCCUUUAUGGAGAAAUAAACUGGAGGGGGUGGGUGGCGAGGUGAGGCUUGCGUUUUGUUUUCCCCUUGGCUUUAUAGGGACCACGGAGGAGAAGCAACGCACAGAACACAGGACACAAUUGUGAAUUAUUCACGGCCUGGGCUAACCCCCGAUUUGCAUAUUCUUGGAAAAGGGACCAAGGGACAAAGGGACCAUGUUCUUCUCCAUAUUCUUGGAAAAAAGACCAAGUUCUCAAACUUACUUUGUCACACUCCUUUGCACAAUGAAAUGGUCCAAUCAUUGAAUACAAUCAUUCAAGAGGAAGUUGUCUAAUUGAACCGCCUCUACAAACACCUUACAUUAAUUAACUCCAGUGAUCGGACUAGGCUUAUGACCGUAACUUUCAAUUCUCUUUGGCAGAUGUCUGAAUGAAUUACUUAUCAUUCCCAGGUUGUUUGUGGUGUGGAUUUAAUUAAUUGAUGAUGAUCAUUCACAGAUAAGCAUAGGGUGGCAUUAAUAGAGGCAUGCUUGAGCUCACAUGCUCCCAUUUUUAUGUACAAUACAUUAUAUAAUCUCUGUAAAGGUAAUUAAUGUGCAUUAGGAAAAAAUGCCUUAGUUAAUCAGUUGCUUAUAGAUAUUUUUGAAUUAGUUGGCUGUGGAGUCUGUAAGCCAGCGGACUGUAAGCCUCUCAUUUCAGAGAAAAUACAAAUGCACGUAUUCUGGGUGUAUCGAUCCAAAAGACAUCAAUAAAGAAGUGGACAUUAAUAAAUGAGCUAAUUUUUUAAAGAUGGUCUUUUCAGGACUCAAGUUCAAAAAUAUAAUUCCUAGAAGCAGUAUUGUUUUUUUUUUCCCACUUCUAACAUUUCAGCUUUAUGUAGAACCAGAGGAACAUAAGCCCACAGAAAAACUAGAUUCUAUUUUGGGGAAAUUAUUUCUUAAUAAUUGCUGUUAGAAUGCUAGAAACUGGAUUAUCAUCUUUCGGGGCAAAGGCAGAAGUAUUAACAUCAUAUUGGAUUUGGGGUUAAAAUAGCUGAAAAACCAUAGUGUUUGAUUUUGAAGCUUGUUUUUCGCCUUUGUGAAAACUGUUUUAUUAUUUAUCCUGCAGUUUCGGAGAUGGCUCAACAUUCUUGUGCCUUGUUAUGGCUCUGCUUCUUCAGAGAGGUUUUAGGCCAGCUUUGUCUCGUGGACACUCUUGUCUUGCAUGUGGGAAAGCAGCCCGUAGGGGUCACUGGUGGCCAGAGUGAAUUUUUCUGCCUGUGCUCAAGACACACCAACUGAGCUUUCUGAAUGUGUACAUGGAAUUCAGGCCUCCCCGAGUGUCCAUCAUCUUCACAAGUCAACACUGGGUUCAACAAAUUGUGUGGUUUAUAACAAAUUAUAAUCUGUUUUAUGUUUCUUACAUGGAUGUUAUUAGCUGAAGUUUGGAAUUAAUCUCACCCAGCUGUUCCAAUAAUGUAAUGUUCAUGAACAUUACUGAAAUUAGCUGUAUAUACUUAAU